GUUUUAAUAGCUUAUAUCUAGAGCAUAGCAUUGAAGAUGCUAAUGAGGGAACAAUACCCUUAAAACA
rnacentral:tRNA from 1 species